UACGUAGGGGGCGAGCGUUGUCCGGAUUUAUUGGGCGUAAAGAGCUCGUAGGCGGCUCGGUAAGUCGGGUGUGAAAACUCGGGGCUCAACCCCGAGACGCCACUCGAUACUGCCAUGGCUAGAGUCCGGUAGGGGAGCGUGGAAUUCCUGGUGUAGCGGUGAAAUGCGCAGAUAUCUGGAGGAACACCGGUGGCGAAGGCGGCAUCCUGGACCAAUACUGACGCUGAGGAGCGAAAGCCAGGGGAGCAAACGGG
rnacentral:rRNA from 1 species